rnacentral:rRNA from 1 species
UUUGAUUAUAAUUUAAAGUCUAAUCUGCCCUAUGACAAAUUAAAUGGCCGCGGUACUUUGACCGUGCAAAGGUAGCAUAAUAAUUAGUUUUUUAAUUGAAAGCUGGAAUGAAUGAUUGGACGAGAAAAUAACUGUCUCAAUUUAAUUUUUUUAGAAUUUUAUUUUUAAGUAAGAAAGCUUAAAUUUUAUUAAAAGACGAGAAGACCCUAUAGAGUUUUAUAGUUAAUUUAUUAUAAAUUUUUAAGUAUUAUUUUAUUUUUAAUAAAUUAAAUAUUUUAUUGGGGUGAUAGAAAAAUAUUAUUAACUUUUUUUAUAUUUAAACCAUUAAUUUAUGAUUAAAUGAUCCAUUUUUUAUGAUUAAAAGAAUAAGUUACCUUAGGGAUAACAGCGUAAUUUUUUUUUAGAGUUCUUAUCGAAAGAAAAGAUUGCGACCUCGAUGUUGGAUUAAAAUAAAUGUUUGGUGUAGGAGCUAAAAUAAUUGGGUCUGUUCGACCUUUAAAAUU